CUGCAUUUCGAGUGCUAAACCAUUUGAGGCGGUAUUACUGAAGCCCUGCUGCCCUUAUGUAAACCAGUUAUCCUUCUCCCUUUCUAAAUAGAGAAUCCCUUGAGGAAUGGAAUGCCUUCCUAAGCCCCUGCGGUCCGGCCGCAUUAGGUUAGGGAGCUGGGCGAUAAUAGCUCCUCCGCAUCUCAAGCGAACCGCCCUACCUUACUUUGGAUAGGGAUAGAAGGGAGAAGGUUGUGAAGGUGGCCUCGUUAUCCACACAUCUGGUCGGAUGAAUGGAGGACCGACCGACCUGGGUUUUCACGAUCGUUGGCGGGUCCUGGAGUGCCCGUCAAGGGCGCUAGCGCAUACCCCGGGGUGUUUUUUUUUGCAUCCCAAUCAGUAUUUCUCUCCAAAGCCCGCUCUCCUCUGGUUUCAAUCUCCAUAACAGCUUGGCAGAUAGUGCUUUGUUUGCCCAUGUUUCGAAUUCCAAGGCCGCUUUUUGUCACUUUCUUUUUACCGAUU
rnacentral:lncRNA from 1 species